rnacentral:tRNA from 1 species
GGAAGGGUCGCAUAGUUGGUCUAGUGCGCCGUCUUGGAAAGGCGGUAUGGGGGCAACCUCAUCAGGGGUUCGAAUCCCCUCCCUUCCGCCA